UGGGCCCUACGGGACGCAGCAGUGGGGAAUAUUGCACGAUGGGGGAAACCCUGAUGCAGCGACGCCGCGCGAAGGAUGAAGUAUUUCGGUAUGUAAACUUCUAUCAGCAGGGAAGAAAAUGACGGUACCUGACUAAGAAGCCCCGGCUAACUACGUGCCAGCAGCCGCGGUAAUACGUAUGGUGCAAGCGUUAUCCGGAUUUACUGGGUGUAAAGGGAGCGCAGGCGGCGCGUUAAGCCUGGUGUGAAAGCCCGCGGCCCAACCGCGGGACUGCAUUGGGAACUGGCGCGCUGGAGUGCCGGAGG
rnacentral:rRNA from 1 species